rnacentral:rRNA from 1 species
AUGUGCUGCUGCACUGUCGGCGACUCCAUUUCGCGAACAAUUGAAAAAGGAAAGGAUGAGAGGGUAGCUAGGCACAACCGCCCCAUCCUUGUCAGCGAGCGAAAGAAAAAGAGCAGGGCAGCGAAAAACGGCCAGGGCGGAAAGGGCAGCAGCGAGCGAAAGAAAAAGAGGCGGAAAGGGCAGCAGCGAGCGAAAGAAAAAGAGCAGGGCUCGCAUCCUUUUCGAGAGCUCGCGUCCUUCUCACGAACCCUACCGCCGCCCCGCUACUCCUCCCACCUCAGGCACCUCCCCCUAGCCGCCGCCGCUGCCUCCCACCUCAGUCGCGUCCCCCCUCCCCCCCCAUCUCGUUCGGCCCGGGUGUGGAGGCGAGCUUCCCGAAGUCGGCGCUGGAUUCGAUCUGCAGGAGAGAGGGAGGUGUGGCAGCCGCCGCACACCCGCAUCGCUCCGCGCCCCCUCUUUGCUCCACCAUGCAGCCUCCUUCUUCCCGCCCACCUCCGGCGCAGCUCGUCGUAG